rnacentral:rRNA from 1 species
ACGAACGCUGGCGGCAUGCCUAACACAUGCAAGUCGAACGGGAUCCAUCCUUCGGGGUGGUGAGAGUGGCGGACGGGUGAGUAACGCGUGGGAACCUGCCCAGUGGUGGGGGAUAACUGCGGGAAACUGCAGCUAAUACCGCAUGAGCCCGAGAGGGGAAAGAUUUAUCGCCAUUGGAGGGGCCCGCGUUCGAUUAGGUAGUUGGUGAGGUAAUGGCUCACCAAGCCGACGAUCGAUAGCUGGUCUGAGAGGAUGAUCAGCCACACUGGGACUGAGAUACGGCCCAGACUCCUACGGGAGGCAGCAGUGGGGAAUAUUGGACAAUGGGGGCAACCCUGAUCCAGCAAUGCCGCGUGAGUGAUGAAGGCCUUAGGGUUGUAAAGCUCUUUUGGCGGGGACGAUGAUGACGGUACCCGCAGAAUAAGCCCCGGCUAACUUCGU